GAUGAACGCUGGCGGCGUGCCUAAUACAUGCAAGUCGAGCGAACGGACGAGAAGCUUGCUUCUCUGAUGUUAGCGGCGGACGGGUGAGUAACACGUGGAUAACCUACCUAUAAGACUGGGAUAACUUCGGGAAACCGGAGCUAAUACCGGAUGAUAUUUUGAACCGCAUGGUUCAAAAGUGAAAGACGGUCUUGCUGUCACUUAUAGAUGGAUCCGCGCUGCAUUAGCUAGUUGGUAAGGUAACGGCUUACCAAGGCAACGAUGCAUAGCCGACCUGAGAGGGUGAUCGGCCACACUGGAACUGAGACACGGUCCAGACUCCUACGGGAGGCAGCAGUAGGGAAUCUUCCGCAAUGGGCGAAAGCCUGACGGAGCAACGCCGCGUGAGUGAUGAAGGUCUUCGGAUCGUAAAACUCUGUUAAUAGGGAAAGAACUAUGUGUAAGUUACUGUGCACAUCCUGACGGGACCUAAUCAGAAAGCCCCGGCUAACUACGUGCCAACAGCCGCGGGAAUACCUAGGUGGGAAGCGUUUUCGGGAAUAUUGGGCGUAAACGCGCGUAGCGGUUUUUUAGUCUGAUGUGAAAGCCCACGGCUCAACCGUGGAGGGUCAUUGGAAACUGGAAAACUUGAGUGCAGAAGAGGAAAGUGGAAUUCCAUGUGUAGCGGUGAAAUGCGCAGAGAUAUGGAGGAACACCAGUGGCGAAGGCGACUUUCUGGUCUGUAACUGACGCUGAUGUGCGAAAGCGUGGGGAUCAAACAGGAUUAGAUACCCUGGUAGUCCACGCCGUAAACGAUGAGUGCUGAGUGUUAGGGGGUUUCCGCCCCUUAGUGCUGCAGCUAACGCAUUAAGCACUCCGCCUGGGGAGUACGACCGCAAGGUUGAAACUCAAAGGAAUUGACGGGGACCCGCACAAGCGGUGGAGCAUGUGGUUUAAUUCGAAGCAACGCGAAGAACCUUACCAAAUCUUGACAUCCUUUGACAACUCUAGAGAUAGAGCCUUCCCCUUCGGGGGACAAAGUGACAGGUGGUGCAUGGUUGUCGUCAGCUCGUGUCGUGAGAUGUUGGGUUAAGUCCCGCAACGAGCGCAACCCUUAAGCUUAGUUGCCAUCAUUAAGUUGGGCACUCUAAGUUGACUGCCGGUGACAAACCGGAGGAAGGUGGGGAUGACGUCAAAUCAUCAUGCCCCUUAUGAUUUGGGCUACACGCGUGCUACAAUGGACAAUACAAAGGGCAGCGAAACCGCGAGGUCAAGCAAAUCCCAUAAAGUUGUUCUCAGUUCGGAUUGUAGUCUGCAACUCGACUACAUGAAGCUGGAAUCGCUAGUAAUCGUAGAUCAGCAUGCUACGGUGAAUACGUUCCCGGGUCU
rnacentral:rRNA from 1 species